UACGAAGGGGGCUAGCGUUGCUCGGAAUCACUGGGCGUAAAGCGCACGUAGGCGGCUUCUUAAGUCAGGGGUGAAAUCCUGGAGCUCAACUCCAGAACUGCCCUUUGAUACUGAGGAGCUUGAGUCCGGGAGAGGUGAGUGGAACUGCGAGUGUAGAGGUGAAAUUCGUAGAUAUUCGCAAGAACACCAGUGGCGAAGGCGGCUCACUGGCCCGGUACUGACGCUGAGGUGCGAAAGCGUGGGGAGCAACAGG
rnacentral:rRNA from 1 species